rnacentral:rRNA from 1 species
CCAUACACUGCAUCUCACAUUUGACAUAUAGACAAAGUGACUUAGUGCUGAACUAUUUUCUUUUCGCUCGCCGCUACUAAGAAAAUCCUUGUUAGUUUCUUUUCCUCCCCUAAUUAAUAUGCUUAAAUUCAGGGGGUAAUCCCAUAUGAGUUGAGGUUGUUAUAAUAUUUUUUAUCUUCUCACAAUUUAAUAAAUAAUUAUAUCAUCUUUUCAUCUCUAUUUUUUUCUUUUUUCCUUUUAUAUAAUUUUUUUUUUCCUUCCCCGGGGGGUAAUUAUGUAAAABGAGGCAAUUCUAGGAUAAAAAAAAUUAUUUUUAUGCUAGACAUUCCUCCCUAAUUACAUAUAUAAAUUUUUUAUUUCCCAUAUAUAUGCAC